CAGUAGCCACGGGAAUACGUAGGUGGCAAGCGUUGUCCGGAAUUAUUGGGCGUAAAGGGCUCGCAGGCGGUUUCUUAAGUCUGAUGCGAAAGCCCCCGGCUCAACCGGGGAGGGUCAUUGGAAACUGGGAAACUUGAGUGCAGAAGAGGAGAGUGGAAUUCCACGUGUAGCGGUGAAAUGCGUAGAGAUGUGGAGGAACACCAGUGGCGAAGGCGACUCUCUGGUCUGUAACUGACGCUGAGGAGCGAAAGCGUGGGGAGCGAACAGGAUUAGAUACCCGCGUAGUCCCUGUCUCUUAUAC
rnacentral:rRNA from 1 species